UCCCUGGUGGCUCAGACAGUAAAGAAUCUGCCUGCAGUGCAGGAGACCCAGGUUCAAUCCCUGGGUGAGGAA
rnacentral:tRNA from 1 species